GGGAAUGUGGCUCAGUGGUAGAGUGCUUGCCUAGCAUGCAAGAAAGCGCUGGGUUCAAUUCCUUAGCACCA
rnacentral:tRNA from 1 species